CAAAUGUCUUUUUUCUGUGAAGAGUGCGUGUGUAGCAGCGUUGGAAAAUGGAAAAAUGGGAAAAAUAUCCGGAAAAAUAGCAAAGUAAGUACAUUAUACACUAAUUAGGAUAUAGUUAAACGAUGUGUAUAAGAAAUUAAGUUGCAAUUUAUAUAAUUGUACGCGAAAAUAGAAAUUUUCUUUUUUACAGGUUACGUGUUUCGACAAGUCCAGGUGAGAGAUUUUUUUCGAAUAAAAGCAGGUAAAAAGAGAAGUAUUUUAAUUAAAGAGCGCUCUUCUGUAAAUAGUAGUAGUAGUAAUAGCAGUAGUAGUAGCAGUAGUAUGUAGUAGAAGUAGUCGGGGUAGUAGUAGUAAAUAUUAUGUAUGUAAUAUUUGACAAAUUUUUCUAUUAUUCCAUUAUUAUUCAUUGAUUUGUCUUUUCAUGCUACAUGUUCCCGGACAACUUCUAUUCUCCGGACUCUCCCAGGCUCCCCAAAAAGAGUGUCCAUGGACAACCCAAUGGAUUGUCAAUGGAUUCGUCCCAUGUGUCCCAUGGACUUUUCUUGUUUUUUUCUUAUAUUCUGUAAUAUUCUUACAGCUACAUGUUCCCGGCGUUCCCGGACAACUAUCUUACGGAUACUCCCACGUUACAAAAGCUCGCCAAAGAGAACUAUCAGCAUUUAUGACGAAGGGAAUGGAGAAAAGAAAAGACCGUGCCUUGGAAAACAGAAGUAGGAGAGCAUCCCGUGUCUUGGAAAACAGAAAUUGCAGAGCAUCCCGUGUCUUGGAAUACAGGAGUUGCAGAACAUCUCAAAGACCCAGGACGUCAGAGUUCAACCGCCGAAGGACAAAGUAUCAUACAUGUAAGAUUUAUAUAUAUAAUUUUUAAAUAAAAAAAUAAAAAAUUAA